ensembl:lncRNA
AAAUCAAAAGUCCCAGUCUUCUCUUCAUCAUCUCCCCCUUUUAAUGUUGACGUUCAAAUCCAGUGUUGGACUGCAUUCUUUCAGAUUCACUGAUGCCACCUCUGGAUCCUGGACCUGAAGAUGUCUCUCCUGUGUGAAUGACAUCAGAAUAGCAAGUUCACUGAUGCCAUCUCUGGAACCUGCUGUAAAGCCUACACAAAGGGCCCCAUUGUCACAAUCAGGACACAUUGACGCUAUAGGUCUGGGCUAUAACUCAGUUCUCUUUAUCUGCUUGCUAGAGCUAGAUAUAAAAGCCUCUAGAUAGAAUAAGUCCGAAAAAGAAGUCUGAGUUCAACCUCCUGGUCUCCCCUGUGUGUGCCACUCUCCCUCCCAUUGAACUGUAUGGGUACAUUUCAAAGAAUAGAUACAAUAAGUGCUGUGGCACUGCAGGUCAGUUCACAGUGCUUACAACCUUAGCAUUUAUAUCAAAACAUCUAUUUAUAUAAUAAACGGGUUAAUUGAUUUACCACUGGUUUCAGUGCCACUUAAGAAUGUAAUGGCCUGGUUGUUGCCAGAUAGGUCUGUUUCCUGCCUAAUUUAGUGACUUUUUACAUAAUACGUCUUGCAAAAUGGUGCUGGGUGGGUGUUAAUUUGAUUGGGAGGCUAAGAGUCAAGAGAAUCUGGCUACACUGAAUAGCUUCUGUUGACAUUUUAAAUUAAGAGGACCAAAACCAGGGGGACUUUCACACUGACUAAACUUGUUGCCCACGCUCCACAGGUCACCUAAUGUUAAACUUUUCACUUUUAAACACUAUAUCCUUACAUUAGCCUGAAAUAUGAUGUGAUCGAAGCCACAAUCAUUCUUCAUAUGUGUAGCAUACUGUAAACACCAUAGAACAAACAAAAUAAUGCCCACUAUUCAAACUAUACAGAAGCUUCUCAACUAUAUUGCACAUAAUAUUGCACUCUUAAGUAAUACAACCACCCAAUUGUUCUCACAAUAGUGAAAGGCAACUUAGAUUUUUUUCUAAACAAAGCUACAACUGAAAGUCUUUAUAUGCAUUAGAUGCUUCACAAAUCAUCACAUUGAGAGUUGAGGUAAGGAGUUUUGCAAGUAUGUUUUUUUGGUCAAUUGUUAAGCUUUUAUGAGAGAAACUCUUCCCGCAGUUAGAGC